GGGCUGCAGUCGAGAAUCUUCCUCAAUGGCCGAAAGGCUGAAGGAGCGACGCCGCGUGUAGGAAGACGCCCUUUGGGGUGUAAACUACUUUUCUAAAGGAAAAAUUUUUGAUUGUACUUUAGGAAUAAGCCACUGCUAACUUCGUGCCAGCAGCAGCGGUAAUACGAAGGUGGCAAGCGUUAUCCGGAUUUAUUGGGCGUAAAGAGUUCAACGGUGGCUAUGAUAGUCGAAAAUAAAAUCUUAAGGCUCAACCUUAAGCCCGUUUUCGAUACUUUAUAGCUAGAGGGUAGGAGAGGCAAACGGAAUUGCUGGUGUAGUAGUAAAAUGCGUUAAUAUCAGCAAGAACACCAAAGGCGAAGGCAGUUUGCUAGAAUACUCCUGACACUAUACGAACGAAAGCGUGGGUAGCGAAUGGGAUUAGAUACCCGUGUAGUC
rnacentral:rRNA from 1 species